rnacentral:rRNA from 1 species
AUGCUUAGGCAUUUAGUGGCGGACGGGUGAGUAACGCGUGAGAAUUUGGCUUCAGGUCGGGGACAACAGUUGGAAACGACUGCUAAUACCGGAUAUGCCGGAAGGUGAAAGGCUUGCUGCCUGAAGAUAAGCUCGCGUCUGAUUAGCUAGUAGGAGGGGUAAAAGCCCACCUAGGCGACGAUCAGUAGCUGGUCUGAGAGGAUGAUCAGCCACACUGGGACUGAGACACGGCCCAGACUCCUACGGGAGGCAGCAGUGGGGAAUUUUCCGCAAUGGGCGAAAGCCUGACGGAGCAAUACCGCGUGAGGGAGGAAGGCUCUUGGGUCGUAAACCUCUUUUCUCAAGGAAGAAGAAAGUGACGGUACUUGAGGAAUAAGCAUCGGCUAACUCCGUGCCAGCAGCCGCGGUAAUACGGAGGAUGCAAGCGUUAUCCGGAAUGAUUGGGCGUAAAGGGUCUGUAGGUGGUACUGAAAGUCUGCUGUUAAAGAAUCACGCUCAACGUGAUCAAAGCAGUGGAAACUACAGAACUAGAGUGCGGUAGGGGCAAAAGGAAUUCCUGGUGUAGCGGUGAAAUGCGUAGAUAUCAGGAAGAACACCGGUGGCGAAAGCGUUUUGCUAGACCGCAACUGACACUGAGGGACGAAAGCUAGGGGAGCGAAUGGGAUUAGAUACCCCAGUAGUCCUAGCCGUAAACGAUGGAUACUAGGCGUGGCUUGUAUCGACCCGAGCCGUGCCGGAGCUAACGCGUUAAGUAUCCCGCCUGGGGAGUACGCACGCAAGUGUGAAACUCAAAGGAAUUGACGGGGGCCCGCACAAGCGGUGGAGUAUGUGGUUUAAUUCGAUGCAACGCGAAGAACCUUACCAAGACUUGACAUCCUGCGAAUCCUGGUGAAAGCUGGGAGUGCCUUAGGGAGCGCAGAGACAGGUGGUGCAUGGCUGUCGUCAGCUCGUGUCGUGAGAUGUUGGGUUAAGUCCCGCAACGAGCGCAACCCUCGUUUUUAGUUGCCAGCAUUAAGAUGGGCACUCUAGAGAGACUGCCGGUGACAAACCGGAGGAAGGUGAGGAUGACGUCAAGUCAGCAUGCCCCUUACGUCUUGGGCUACACACGUACUACAAUGCUACGGACAAAGGGCAGCUACACAGCGAUGUGAUGCAAAUCUCAGAAACCGUAGCUCAGUUCAGAUCGAAGGCUGCAACUCGCCUUCGUGAAGGAGGAAUCGCUAGUAAUUGCAGGUCAGCAUACUGCAGUGAAUUCGUUCCCGGGCCUUGUACACACCGCCCGUCACACCAUGGAAGUUGGUCACGCCCGAAGUCAUUACCCCAACCGAAAGGAGGGGGAUGCCUAAGGUAGGACUGGUGACUGGGGUGAAGUCGUAACAAGGUAGCCGUACCGGAAGGUGUGGCUGGAUCACCUCCUUU